AUUGAACGCUGGCGGCAUGCCUUACACAUGCAAGUCGAACGGCAGCACGGGAGCAAUCCUGGUGGCGAGUGGCGAACGGGUGAGUAAAGUAUCGGAACGUGCCCAGUCGUGGGGGAUAACGUAGCGAAAGUUACGCUAAUACCGCAUACGAUCUAUGGAUGAAAGCGGGGGAUCGCAAGACCUCGCGCGAUUGGAGCGGCCGAUAUCAGAUUAGGUAGUUGGUGGGGUAAAGGCUCACCAAGCCGACGAUCUGUAGCUGGUCUGAGAGGACGACCAGCCACACUGGGACUGAGACACGGUCCAGACUCCUACGGGAGGCAGCAGUGGGGAAUUUUGGACAAUGGGCGCAAGCCUGAUCCAGCAAUGCCGCGUGCAGGAUGAAGGCCUUCGGGUUGUAAACCGCUUUUGUACGGAGCGAAACGGUCUGCCCUAAUACGGUGGGCUAAUGACGGUACCGUAAGAAUAAGCACCGGCUAACUACGUGCCAGCCGCCGCCGUAA
rnacentral:rRNA from 1 species